CAGAUUGGAGAUGUGCCAUUUGCAGGAAGUGAGGUUUCAGCUAACAUGGUGCACUGUUUUUCUGGGCCAUUCAAUGAGGACCCCUCUGGUUAUUGGUGAAGCAAAGGAUGGGAUCUAUAUCAUGACCACCACUUCAGGUCUACAAAGUCUUGUCAAGUCUAGUUCUAAAUCUGAUGUUUUACUCUCCAGUUGUAGUUCUUUUCCUAGCUCUUUUUCUAUUCCAGUAAACAAUAGGGAUGAUGUAAAAUUGUGGCACAUUAGAUUGGGCCACAUGCCUUUUGAUUCAAUGAAAAACAUCAGUUCCUCUUCUUCCUUUUCUCA